CCCUCCAACAAAGGCGUAUCUAUGGGUCUCUGUCUUUGGAUACGUAAGAAUUGGAGGUAAAGAGAUGUGGACCUGGGGAAAUUUGGAGCUAGCUUGCUCCCUGCUAGCCCAAGAUCAACAGUCCCACAUAG